rnacentral:lncRNA from 1 species
GACCACGAAUUCGACAAGUGAGCUUGUAAAUAUUAUUAAUUUAAUGUUUAUGAGUCAAUUAUAAUAUUAUUGAAAUUUUGAUUUAAUAAAUUUCGUUAAUUGAUCGUAUAGUUAAGUUAAGUGGUUCAUUCCUUAAUUCAAGUGGUUUUGGAAAAUGAAGUAUUGAAACCUCCUUUCUAUAAACCGAACCCGUAAAUAUUUUUAUUAAAUAUUUACAGAGUUAUUAUAUAGGCAUGUGAAUAUUCAGUUAGGAAAUUUAAUUUUUAAUUAGUUAAUUAAUUAAAAAGGACUAAAUCGUAAAAGUCAAAAAAUCUAAUCACUAUUGAAUUUUAAUGGUUAAAUAGCUUAACUAGUGGAUUUGUGAGGACUUAUGAAAUAAUUAUACUAUGUUUUGAUAUUAGUGGACGGUUAAGACAUUUAUUUAUGCAUUAUAUAUGUUAUAUUAUAAGUUAAAUAAUAAUAAAGUAAAUAAAAUAAGUAAAGUUUAAAAAAAAAGAAAAAGAAAACAUAAAAAAUUAGUGUCAUAUUCUUCUUCUUUUAAUUUGAACAUCGAACCAUCAUGGGAGAACUUGGGAAGCUUCGGCUUUGAUAUUUCCAUUGCAUGAAAGUGAGUUUUUCACUCGUUUUUCGUAAAUUUUAUAUUUUUGAGACCGUUGCAGCUAGGUACAGCUAACAUGUAUCUCUGUUUUUAAAACUGUUAAAGAUUUUGGAUUUUUCCAUUAAUUAAUUUUAGUUGUGUUGAGAAUUUAAUUGAUGUGUUCUUGAGUUUUACAGCUAGAUAUAAGUAUUUUGUUAAGUGAUUUUUAGUAAUUUCAAUGUUUAGGGAUUAAAUUGUUUAAAUAGUAAAAUUCAAUGAAAAUGGUGUGAAAUGAUAAGAAAUAUGGGCUGUAAUGGACCCCUAGGAAAAUUGGCUAGCAUAGUUUUUCAUUAAGUGUGGUUAAUUUGUGAUUUAUGAAUUUGAGUAUUUUAUGAUAUUUGAAUUGGUUAAUUGAAUAAAUUUAUUAUAUUUAGAUCAAGAAACGAGCUAACCUGGCAUUAAUUGUGGGAAAGGAAAGUUAAAGGAGAAAUCGUCGGUGUUGUGUUUGUAACUAUUUUCAAUUAGGUAAGUUUGUAAAUUGAUUAAAUUAAUUAUUUGUUAUUUUUGUGACUUAAUAUAUAUAUUUAUGUUGUUAUUCAAUUUAACUACUUGAGAUUGAUAUGUGAUGAGUUGGACUAAGUUAUGAUGAUAUUUAAGUUGAGUACUGUGUUUGGAAAAUGUCAAAUACACGGAUGUGAGUUUGAAAUGGUAUAAUGGAAACGAAGUUAAAUGACUAGGAUAUAAAAUGUGUCACAUUUGAACCUUGUGAGUACUUAUGAUACAAAUGACAUGUCAUUAGGAGGUUAUUUCCAGUUUCGGGUGCUGGUCUUGGAUGUCCUACCGAUGGCUGAGGUAUUGCACUUGUUAUGGAUUCUCCACAAUUCGUGUGAGCAGCACCGUGUAGCUUAAUAUCCUGACCCAUAGCUUGUGUGAGCAGACCCAUUUCACAGCUCAUGUGAGCAUACAGUAUUACAUGUUACAGUCACAGCUUGCGUGAGCAGUUCCCGAGUAUCCGAUGUUAUUUCAUUUGGUUCAACAGGUAGUAAAAUUUUAAACUAAUAUGUACAUAUAUAAAAAUGUUAUAUGGUCAAGACAUGUGAAUGGAAGAUGCUGAUAUAAAUACUUGGAAUGGGAAGCUAUGUUUAUCGAACACAUGAUAGAUGUAAUAUGUACUGGUUAUGUUAUUAUUACAUGUUCCAUUAUUGUUGGAAUUAUAUGUUUCUUUGUGAUACCUAUUAACCUUGUAAGGUUGUGUUGUAUAGAAAAGAAAUGUAAGUAUAAGAUUUAAUGAAUGAAUAUGUGUUAUAUGCUAAAUAAAUAUGUGAUGGUUGGCUAUGUACUAAAUAAGUUUUUUGGUAUAUGUUUGAUGGCAUGAUAAAGUUACAUGUUUUAUAUAUGAACUCACUAAUCUUGUGAGACUUGUGAUGUGUCUAGGAAAUUAACAAACUCAUGACCAGGACAUAGAGUUAUCUUGUAAAAUGUUUUAUUACAUCGUUUUUG